GGGCACGCGAGUGGGCUCGGCGGCGGGGAGAGCCGAUGUGCGCCCCGCUGCACGCGGGUUCGAAUCCCGCCGUGUCCACCA
rnacentral:tmRNA from 1 species